rnacentral:rRNA from 1 species
UGGGGAAUAUUGCACAAUGGGCGCAAGCCUGAUGCAGCGACGCCGCGUGAGGGAUGACGGCCUUCGGGUUGUAAACCUCUUUCAAUAGGGACGAAGCGCAAGUGACGGUACCUAUAGAAGAAGGACCGGCCAACUACGUGCCAGCAGCCGCGGUAAUACGUAGGGUCCGAGCGUUGUCCGGAAUUACUGGGCGUAAAGAGCUCGUAGGUGGUUUGUCGCGUUGCUCGUGAAAACUCACAGCUUAACUGUGGGCGUGCGGGCGAUACGGGCAGACUAGAGUACUGCAGGGGAGACUGGAAUUCCUGGUGUAGCGGUGGAAUGCGCAGAUAUCAGGAGGAACACCCGUGUCGAAGGCGGGUCUCUGGGCAGUAACUGACGCUGAGGAGCGAAAGCGUGGGGAGCGAACA